rnacentral:tRNA from 1 species
UAAAAGGUAGCAUAUAUUAAUGUGUUUUGCUUACACCAAAAAGAAGACUUUCGUUCCUUUUAU